CCAUAGCCUGUUAGUGUAAAGUACACGUCUAACUAGCACCCUAGAUUAGAUAAUAUCAUUGAAGCCUACCUUUGGCAUAAUUGACUUAGUCACCUUUUAUUGGAAAGGGUGAAUGAGCCAGCAAUAUUCUGAGUUUAGUACAUAUUGAUGUAUUUGCACUCAUGAACAUAAGUGCCAGAAGCAGACUUUACUACUUCAUUAAAAUCUCUGACGACCUAUCUUGGUAUGGAUGCAUCUUGCUUAU
rnacentral:lncRNA from 1 species